UGCUGAUGUUUGUGUAUACUUAGUCAAGCACGGCGAAUCCUCUUGUGGGCGAAGGAUACAUGUUGGUGAUAUUUGGGGAAAAUGUGUAGUUAGAUGAGCUUGGUUAAAGUCACAUUAAAAGGGUUCUUCCUGGCUAAUGAUCUUGUACCCUUCUCUGAGUGCCGCCUUGGUGUUUGCUUGUGGCGGGAUGUACCCAGCUGUGAUAAUAACACAUGUGAAUCCCCUCGGCAUAUAGUGGGGUCGGCAUUUUAGCAUCAGAAACUCCAGGUAGGCUUAACAGGAGCUUGCAAUGUUUUUUUCAACUUUGGUCCCCUUACUAGAACCCGCAAUUUCAAUACAUUCAGAAUAUGGAGAAGACGUCUGGUUGAAAUAGCAGAGUCGAGUGUGUAGUCCGUUAAGCCACGUCUUUAUAAAAGCAAAGCUACAGCAUUCCCUGAUGUCCUUCUGCAAUUGAAGCCUUGCUUUGAGUUCACACAUUUUAUUUACCAGUGAUUGGACUUGAGUCAUAAGGAUACUAGGAAGAGGUGGCCGUGUAGCCCGUCUUUUCAGCCUAGCUUGGAGUCCCUUUCCUUACUGUUCUUCGUCGCUGCCGUUGCCUUAGGUCAUCUUGGUAGGCAGCAACAGAUGACGGGUGGUGGGUAUUUUUGGCCUCCGUGCUGUGCACCUGCUCAUGGUGUUGUGAGUUGGAGAGAUGCUCCAGUAUUCUUUAAACACAACAUCACACUGAAUCUAUUCCAUCCUGUUUAGAUGUUCACAGUGUCAACUGAAACCACUGGAAUAUCAAAGAGAUGAACACUUCUACAUCAGCAAACUUCACCAUUGCUUCCACUGUCCAUUGGAAUCUCUACUCUGUCUUCGGAGUAACCAACAUCAUCCUGAGUCUCCCCACCAAUGUCUGUCUUUUGGCUGUAAGUGACCUAUCGGAAAAAACUGGUGGCCUUUAACUUCUUCGCUCUCAACCUGUCUGUGUCUGAGAUCCUCUGCUGCAUGUGCGCUGCCUUGAGUCAUCUGGACCAAUAUGUCCUUGGAAGUGUUAUACCACAAGCUAUUAAGUUUGCUGCAGGUCUACACUGGCCGGCCCCUGUCCCAGUCCUGUACCUGUGUGGAACACUAGCUGGCAGUGGUCCACACUGUGGUCUUCCUGAAGUACAAACCCCUGAGAUAGAAGAUAGCAUGCUCAGGGUUGGCUUGGCUGUUGGGGAUUGGGUCCUGCUUGACCCUUACAUUUCUUGCUCUAUACAAACAGGCUGCGUACUAUCACUUUGUAUUAGGUAAUUACCUGGUCUGGUUCUCUGUGAAGUUGUUCUGCUGUCUAGCAGUUCUGAGGGCACUGAAGCUCCCAAUGAUAUUGGUAAUACCAUUGCAAGAUUACUUAGCAGAACAGUUUGUAAUAGUAACUUAGCAGUCUCCACUGUAAUUGUAACUGUUUGCACAGCCUCUCCUCUACCUUCACAGGGCUUGGGAAAUUGCCUUCAUGAUCUGGUUUCAUGAUCUGGCUACAAGUUAUUUUCAAAAGUAAACCGAGUCAAGUUUGUAUAGAACAUGGGGGUUCAUGUUUUUUUAAAUAAAAUAACAAAGUAGAAUAUAAGCUUUUUAACUUAAUGAUUUUCCAAGUGUGAAGUAUCAUUUCUCGAACUUGUAAAGCAGCUAUUUACAAAUAAUAUGUUAUCAAAACAUUAUUAUUACAGCAUGUAUAAACAUUCACAACAAUGUAUACGCAUUUAUAAAGCAGUUAAAGACAAAUUGUUAAGAAAAAAAAUGAACUAAUAAUUAAACCGCAGCAGUAAAAUAACAAUAGAACCUCAACAGAAACUCAAACAGGAAGUAUCCGUGCUUAGGAAAAUUCAAUGCUGGUCUGACCAGUCGGAAUCCAUGUUUCAAGAUUGAUCACGCAGACCGGGAUGUGUUCCGGGUAGCCUCAGAGAAUAAUAUUGACUUACAGUUUAAGUCGAAAGUUUACAUACACUUAGGUUGGAGACAUUAAAACUUGUUUUUCAACCACUCCACACAUUUCU